GUGUCAGCAGCCGCGGUAAUACGGAGGGUGCGAGCGUUACUCGGAAUUACUGGGCGUAAAGGGCGCGUAGGCGGCCGUGCAAGUCUGGUGUGAAAGCCCAGGGCUUAACCCUGGAAGUGCACUGGAUACUGUGCGGCUUGAGUGCCGGAGAGGAGGGGGGAAUUCCCGGUGUAGAGGUGAAAUGCGUAGAUAUCGGGAGGAAUACCGGUGGCGAAGGCGCCCCUCUGGACGGUUACUGACGCUGAGGCGCGAAAGCGUGGGGAGCAAACAGGAUUAGAUACCCUGGUGGUCCACGCUGUAAACGAUGCCCACUAGGUGUGGUGGAGGUUAUAACUCUGCCGUGCCGUAGCUAACGCGUUAAGCACCCCGCCUGGGGAGUACGGCCGCAAGGUUAAAACUCAAAGGAAUUGACGGGG
rnacentral:rRNA from 1 species